AUUGAACGCUGGCGGCAGGCUCAACACAUGCAAGUCGAGCGGGGUGAUGGUGCUUGCACUAUCACUUAGCGGCGGACGGGUGAGUAAUGCUUAGGAAUCUGCCUAUUAGUGGGGGACAACAUCUCGAAAGGGAUGCUAAUACCGCAUACGUCCUACGGGAGAAAGCAGGGGAUCACUUGUGACCUUGCGCUAAUAGAUGAGCCUAAGUCGGAUUAGGUAGUUGGUGGGGUAAAGGCCUACCAAGGCGACGAUCUGUAGCGGGUCUGAGAGGAUGAUCCGCCAAACUGGGACUGAGACACGGCCGAGACUCCUACGGGAGGCAGCAGUGGGGAAUAUUGGACAAGGGGGGGAACCCUGAUCCAUCCAUGCCGCGUGUGUGAAGAAGGCCUUAUGGUUGUAAAGCACUUUAAGCGAGGAGGAGGCUCUUUUGGUUAAUACCCAAGAUGAGUGGACGUUACUCGCAGAAUAAGCACCGGCUAACUCUGUGCCAGCAGCCGCCGUAA
rnacentral:rRNA from 1 species